rnacentral:tRNA from 1 species
AGGUCAGAGACAUGCGACCGCCGGUCUUGAAAACCGGUAUGGGGUAACUCAUCGUGGGUUCGAAUCCCAC